UCCUACGGGAGGCAGCAGUGGGGAAUAUUGGACAAUGGGCGCAAGCCUGAUCCAGCCAUGCCGCGUGAGUGAUGAAGGCCUUAGGGUUGUAAAGCUCUUUCACCGGAGAAGAUAAUGACGGUAUCCGGAGAAGAAGCCCCGGCUAACUUCGUGCCAGCAGCCGCGGUA
rnacentral:rRNA from 1 species